rnacentral:rRNA from 1 species
AUUUAUGGUCAUAACAUCUUGGUAAUGCCCAGUUUUGUCUGAUCUUGGAAGCAAAGCAGGUUUGGGCUUGGUUAGUACUUUGAUGAGACACAGCUCUAAAUGCCAGUUGCCACAGUGA